GAUGAACGCUGGCGGCGUGCCUAAUACAUGCAAGUCGAGCGAACAGAUGAGGAGCUUGCUCCUCUGACGUUAGCGGCGGACGGGUGAGUAACACGUGGAUAACCUCCCUAUAAGACUGGGAUAACUUCGGGAAACCGGAGCUAAUACCGGAUAAUAUAUUGAACGGCAUGGUUCAUUAGUGAAAGAGGGUUUUGCUGUCACUUAUAGAUGGAUCCGCGCCGCAUUAGCUAGUUGGUAAGGUAACGGCUUACCAAGGCAACGAUGCGUAGCCGACCUGAGAGGGUGAUCGGCCACACUGGAACUGAGACACGGUCCAGACUCCUACGGGAGGCAGCAGUAGGGAAUCUUCCGCAAUGGGCGAAAGCCUGACGGAGCAACGCCGCGUGAGUGAUGAAGGUCUUCGGAUCGUAAAACUCUGUUAUUAGGGAAGAACAAAUGUGUAAGUAACUAUGCACGUCUUGACGGUACCUAAUCAGAAAGCCACGGCUAACUACGUG
rnacentral:rRNA from 1 species